GCUGAUGUAGCUUAACUUUAAAGCAUAGCACUGAAGAUGCUAAGACGGGCCCGAAUAAAGCUCCGUCGGCA
rnacentral:tRNA from 1 species